AGCCUUUCUGGCACUUUGUCAUAUUUCUGGCUUCAUUCAUCUGGUUCACGAACCUACUCAUUCCAGUGGUAUCACUCUGGACUUUCCCAUGGAUUAGAUGUGUCAACCCUGAAUGUCACUUCUGUCUCUUCCGCAGCUCCCUUCUGAUGGACCACUGCCCCCUGGGACCAUCUGCCUCUCCUGCUGCCUCACAUACUGAUGGAUGUGGAUCGUCACACUGUGGGCUCCACUGGAUCAUUGGAUCAUCCUCUGUUUCACUAUCUCCUUAUAUCUCUAUUUCUGUAAAAUUUAAUGACACUUCACUCUGACCUUCUCUGUUUUACCGCCAACUAUCUUGUGUGUCUUGCCCUCUUCCAAGUCACCAGGGUGGACAGGAGCUUGUGUGGCUUGGGCACCACUUGGUGAUGCUUUGUCCGGCUCAAUCGUCUCCUGGAUCCACACACUUUACAUAUAUUGUAAUUUGUAUCAGAUAUUCUAUCAAAGCAACUUGUAAACUGUGAUUUUGUUUUUCUGUGCUGGACAUGCAACUUCUAUUGUAUGUCUGUCUGUCCAGGGAGAGGAAUCCUCCUCUGUGGCUCUUUCUUUCUUCCAUCUUUUUUUUGGGGGGGGGGCAUACUGAUAAAACUGGCUUUAUUUAAUAUUGUGUGGUACAUUGAACAGUGUCUAAAUAGGUACUUUGGCUUGUUAGUGACUUUGCAGGGGUGACAUCUAAUUUUCAACCAUAACUCUUGACUGAACUGUUUUGUUUGAACCAGUGUCACUUGUCAACUAACCUUCCAUUUUCACAAACAAUUUGGUGGAAUAAUCUUUUAAAGAAUGAUCAGAUUCUUUGGGGAGUACAGAUCAUUAGUGACACAAAAGCAUUUUCUAUUCUAUUGGCAAGGUCCGGAGGUAUGAGGAAUAAUAAAGCUAGAAGGACUGCUCUCCCUCAUUGCGGACUGUUGAAGGAUGGGCAGAAAGCCAUGUAGCCAUAUUGCUAUUUUACAGCAAUCAGCCAAAGUUACUUUAACGUGCCAGCUAGCGUCACAUACAACGUCGCCAUUAAGUUAGAAAUAGAGUU